AAAUUACCUCUACGGACAUAACAAUAUUUUAAAUAAAUUUAACUUAACUUGUUUUUGGUUGGGGCGACCAAGGGGAAAAACAGAACCCCCUUAUCGAUUGAGCAUUAACAUGCUUAAAAAUUAGAAUAACAAUUCUAAUUAAUAGAACAUCUAACGAACAAUGACCCAGGAUAACAUAAUCCUGAUCAAUGAACCAAGUUACCCU
rnacentral:rRNA from 1 species